rnacentral:rRNA from 1 species
GGGAGCNUUACAUGCAGUCGAGGGGCAUCGGGAGGGAACUUACUUUCCUUGCCGGCGACCGGCGCACGGGUGAGUAACACGUAUGCAACCUGCCCUCUUCAGGGGGACAACCUCCCGAAAGGGAGGCUAAUCCCGCGUAUAUCGGUUUCGGGCAUCCGUUAUCGAGGAAAGAUUCAUCGGAAGAGGAUGGGCAUGCGGCGCAUUAGCUAGACGGCGGGGUAACGGCCCACCGUGGCGACGAUGCGUAGGGGUUCUGAGAGGAAGGUCCCCCACACUGGUACUGAGACACGGACCAGACUCCUACGGGAGGCAGCAGUGAGGAAUAUUGGUCAAUGGGAGAGAUCCUGAACCAGCCAAGCCGCGUGAGGGAAGACGGCCCUAUGGGUUGUAAACCUCUUUUGUCGGAGAACAAAACCCGGGACGUGUCCCGGACUGCGUGUAUCCGAAGAAAAAGCAUCGGCUAACUCCGUGCCAGCAGCCGCGGUAAUACGGAGGAUGCGAGCGUUAUCCGGAUUUAUUGGGUUUAAAGGGUGCGUAGGCGGUCUGUUAAGUCAGCGGUAAAAUUGCGGGGCUCAACCCCGUCGAGCCGUUGAAACUGGCAGACUCGAGUUGGCGAGAAGUACGCGGAAUGCGCGGUGUAGCGGUGAAAUGCAUAGAUAUCGCGCAGAACUCCGAUUGCGGAGGCAGCGUACCGGCGCCAGACUGACGCUGAGGCACGAAAGCGUGGGGAUCGAACAGGAUUAGAUACCC